CAGCUCGUCGCCCUCCUUCUCGGGCAGCGCCUCCGCUUCUUUCAGCGACUUGCUGAUGCUCACCUUGGCCGGCAGUUUCACUUCAUCCUAAAAGGAGAGCGGAGCGGAGAGGUUUCCCCUAUGACUCACAGCCUUGGAGUGCUGUCUUGGGCCCACCCAGCCUGCCUGUUGCUACAACAACUACCAACACAAUUCCAAAGCACCUCCCCUCACCCUGGGCCACACACUGGCCAGGCAUCCUUGUCCCACCCCUACUUCCCUGGCAGAGCUCCUUCACCAAAGGAAGGGCCUCAGGCAGGGGGGGAGGUCUCUGUGUGUUCUGUUUUCACGUUUUUAUUAAACAAAACCACCACUCCCAA